rnacentral:rRNA from 1 species
ACUCAAAGGAAUUGACGGGGGCCCGCACAAGCGGCGGAGCAUGCGGAUUAAUUCGAUGCGACGCGAAGAACCUUACCUGGGUUUGACAUGCACGGUGUACCCGCAGAGAUGCGGGGUCCUUCGGGGUCGUGCACAGGUGGUGCAUGGCUGUCGUCAGCUCGUGUCGUGAGAUGUUGGGUUAAGUCCCGCAACGAGCGCAACCCUUGUCCUGUGUUGCCAGCACGUAGUGGUGGGGACUCACAGGAGACUGCCGGGGUCAACUCGGAGGAAGGUGGGGAUGACGUCAAGUCAUCAUGCCCCUCAUGUCCAGGGCUUCACGCAUGCUACAAUGGCCGGUACAGAGGGCUGCGAUACCGUGAGGUGGAGCGAAUCCCUGCAAAGCCGGUCUCAGUUCGGAUCGGGGUCUGCAACUCGACCCCGUGAAGUCGGAGUCGCUAGUAAUCGCAGAUCAGCACUGCUGCGGUGAAUACGUUCCCGGGCCUUGUACACACCGCCCGU